rnacentral:rRNA from 1 species
GACGAACGCUGGCGGCGUGCUUAACACAUGCAAGUCGUACGGAAAGGCCUGCUUUCCCUUGUGGAUUGCGGGUACUCGAGUGGCGAACGGGUGAGUAACACGUGAGUGAUCUGCCCCCAACUUGGGUAUAAGCCUGGGAAACUGGGUCUAAUUCCCGAUAGGACUGCAGGGUGGUGCCUGUGGUGGAAAACGAUUUUCUAGUGGUUGGGGAUGAGCUCGCGGCCUAUCAGCUUGUUGGUGGGGUAAUGGCCUACCAAGGCGGCGACGGGUAGCCGGCCUGAGAGGGUGGACGGCCGCAUUGGGACUGAGAUACGGCCCAGACUCCUACGGGAGGCAGCAGUGGGGAAUAUUGCACAAUGGGCGGAAGCCUGAUGCAGCGACGCCGCGUGGGGGAUGACGGCCUUCGGGUUGUAAACUCCUUUCGACCGCGAGGAAGCCACCUGGUUGGAAGGGUGGUGACGGUAGUGGUAGAAGAAGCACCGGCUAACUACGUG